UACGGGGGGAGCAAGCGUUGUUCGGAUUUACUGGGCGUAAAGGGCGCGUAGGCGGCCAGCACAAGUCAGUUGUGAAAUCUCCGGGCUUAACUCGGAAAGGUCAACUGAUACUGUGCGGCUAGAGUGCAGAAGGGGCAACUGGAAUUCUCGGUGUAGCGGUGAAAUGCGUAGAUAUCGAGAGGAACACCAGUGGCGAAGGCGGCUCACUGGACCGGUAUUGACGCUGAGGUGCGAAAGCGUGGGGAGCAAACAGG
rnacentral:rRNA from 1 species